CAGCACCUCAAGUGGUCAGGAUGAUUAUUGGGCCUAAAGCAUCCGUAGCUGCUUGUUAGUCUUCGGUUAAAUCCAUGCGCUCAACGCAUGGGCUGCCGGGAAUACUGCAAAGCUAGGGAGUGGGAGAGGUAGACGGUACUCGGUAGGAAGGGGUAAAAUCCUUUGAUCUAUUGAUGACCACCUGUGGCGAAGGCGGUCUACCAGAACACGUCCGACGGUGAGGGAUGAAAGCUGGGGGAGCAAACCGGAUUAGAUACCCGGGUAGUCCCAGCUGUAAACUAUGCAAACUCGGUGAUGCAUUGGCUUGAUGCCAAUGCAGUGCCGCAGGGAAGCCGUUAAGUUUGCCGCCUGGGAAGUACGUACGCAAGUAUG
rnacentral:rRNA from 1 species